CGCAGUAGGUGUCGGAGGGGAACCUCCGGUGAAAAGGGAAACAGGUGUAAGUCCUGUACGAACUCGUCACUGUAAACAGAUUCUAGCAAUGCCCGGAAGCUGAAAGGCUUCAGCCACUGGAAACGGGAAGGCGGUCAUGCUGUAUAUCUGUAAGUCAGGAGACCUGCCCGCUGU
rnacentral:ncRNA from 1 species